rnacentral:rRNA from 1 species
GAUUAUUAAGUCAGUUGUGAAAGCCCUGGGCUCAACCUGGGAACUGCAUCUGAUACUGGUAGUCUAGAGUUUAAGAGAGGGAAGUGGAAUUCCAGGUGUAGCAGUGAAAUGCGUAGAUAUCUGGAGGAACAUCAGUGGCGAAGGCGACUUCCUGGCUUAAAACUGACGCUGAGGUGCGAAAGCGUGGGUAGCGAACGGGAUUAGAUACCCCGGUAGUCCACGCCGUAAACGAUGUCAACUAGUUGUUGGUCUUAUUAAAAAGAUUAGUAACGAAGCUAACGCGAUAAGUUGACCGCCUGGGGAGUACGGUCGCAAGAUUAAAACUCAAAGGAAUUGACGGGGGCCCGCACAAGCGGUGGAGCAUGUGGUUUAAUUCGAUGCAACGCGAAGAACCUUACCAUCCCUUGACAUACAGAGAAGUUACUAGAGAUAGUUUCGUGCCUUCGGGAACUCUGAUACAGGUGCUGCAUGGCUGUCGUCAGCUCGUGUCGUGAGAUGUUGGGUUAAGUCCCGCAACGAGCGCAACCCUUAUCAUUAGUUGCUACCAUUAAGUUGAGAACUCUAAUGAGACUGCCGGUGAUAAACCGGAGGAAGGCGGGGACGACGUCAAGUCAUCAUGGCCCUUAUGGGAUGGGCUACACACGUGCUACAAUGGGGGGUACAAAGAGCAGCCAACUGGCAACAGUGAGCGAAUCUCAAAAAACCCUUCG